CCUUGUAUUCUGCUGAGACUAGCAGUUCCCAGAUCUGAUGAGUAUUGGUAGACUUAAUUAUAUUGUAUCAGGGAUGUAGAGUAAGAAAAAGCCCCAAGUGGAGUAGUGCUGCACAAAUGUUAUUUAUGUGACUGAUUGAGCUACCUGAUGAUUUCAAGGUUGUUGGGCAUCUCAGCUUUCCACUUGUUACUGUUCUUAAAAACAAAGGUUGUAUGUAUGCUACCUUGGUAUGUGUCAGUUUUAAGUUGCUUGGGUCAGGAGUUUUCACUGUGGGAUUUUUUUCAGAUAGCAUUUGAAAGGACUGUCACAUCAAGCUAAAUAUGUGUAUCUGUUGUUUAUACUUUCUGGCUCCUUAAGUGUGAGGGCCAUGUGUGUUUGCAGAUUACUUACCUUUUCUGCUCUUUGAACUAGAUUCUUAUCAAGAGUUGAGGCCUAUGGUUUGUCUUGCUGGAGUAAUUGUGAAAUAAGAAGAGAGAGGAAUUGCCCCAGUGAGAGAUGUCACAGCCUUUGGGCCCCACUCAUUACCACAUGUGCAUCUAACCAGCAGAAGGCCCACUGGUAACUAUGGUUUGAUUAUGUGAAAUUCAGUUUAGCUCUUCUUGCCAAUUCAUUUCACCCAGUCUACUAAAUUGCCAUCAAGUGUUAAUGACUUUGGGCUCCUGUCAACCUGGUUUAAUUCAAGCUAGGAACCCAGUGCCAAAAGCAUUCUCCAUUCCCUUCAUUGGCCAUCCCAGGAGAUUCCUGCCUUUCCCUGUGAGAAAGUUGGAUUUAAUUGGUCUUUUCCUUUUUUUUUUUUUUUUUUAAAUUAGUAUUUUAGAGCUAUAA